rnacentral:rRNA from 1 species
UGUAGUAAUACAAGGCAGACGGCUCAGUAACGCGUAGUCAACCUACCCUAUGGACGGGGAUAACCUCGGGAAACUGAGAAUAAUACCCGAUAGAACAUUAUGCCUGGAAUGGUUUAUGUUUCAAAUAAUUUAUUGCCGUAGGAUGGGACUGCGGCCUAUCAGUUUGUUGGUGAGGUAAUGGCCCACCAAGACUAUUACAGGUACGGGCUCUGAGAGGAGUAGCCCGGAGAUGGGUACUGAGACACGGACCCAGGCCCUAUGGGGCGCAGCAGGCGAGAAAACUUUGCAAUGUGCGAAAGCACGACAAGGUUAAUCCGAGUGGUUUCUGCUAAAGGAACCUUUUGUCAGUCCUAGAAACACUGGUGAAUAAGGGGUGGGCAAGUUCUGGUGUCAGCCGCCGCGGUAAAACCAGCACCUCAAGUGGUCAGGAUGAUUAUUGGGCCUAAAGCAUCCGUAGCCUGCUUUGUAAGUUUUCGGUUAAAUCCAUACGCUCAACGUAUGGGCUGCCGGGAAUACUGCAAAGCUAGGGAGUGGGAGAGGUAGACGGUACUCGGUAGGAAGGGGUAAAAUCCUUUGAUCUAUUGAUGACCACCUGUGGCGAAGGCGGUCUACCAGAACACGUCCGACGGUGAGGGAUGAAAGCUGGGGGAGCAAACCGGAUUAGAUACCCGGGUAGUCCCAGCUGUAAACUAUGCAAACUCAGUGAUGCAUUGGCUUGAUGCCAAUGCAGUGCUGCAGGGAAGCCGUUAAGUUUGCCGCCUGGGAAGUACGUACGCAAGUAUGAAACUUAAAGGAAUUGGCGGGA